rnacentral:rRNA from 1 species
UGGAGACGCCGGCCAGGUGCGGCGGGAUGGCGGGGGGGUGGAGGGUUGUGGGGAGUCAGGGGGGGGAAGGGGCGGGGAGGCGGCCCGGUAAGUCUGAUGUGAAAGCCCGGGGCGCACCCCCGGAAGUGGAUUGGAAACUGGCGGACUCGAGUCCCGGAGAGGAGGGUGGAAUUCCUGGUGUAGCGGUGAAAUGCGUAGAUAUCAGGAGGAACACCGGUGGCGAAGGCGGCCCUCUGGACGGUGACUGACGCUGAGACGCGAAAGCGUGGGGAGCAAACAGGAUUAGAUACCCUUGUAGUC